rnacentral:rRNA from 1 species
CACGGGGGGAGCAAGCGUUGUUCGGAAUCACUGGGCGUAAAGCGCGUGUAGGCGGCCAAGUAAGUGGGAUGUGAAAUCCCCCGGCUUACCCGGGGACCUGCAUCUCAUACUGCUUGGCUUGAGUAUGGGAGAGGAUGAGGGAAUUCCUGGUGUAGCGGUGAAAUGCGUAGAUAUCAGGAGGAACACCGGUGGCGAAGGCGGCCCACUGGCUCGAUACUGACGCUGAGGUGCGAAAGCGUGGGGAGCAAACAGG